rnacentral:rRNA from 1 species
UUACCCGCUGAACUUAAGCAUAUCAU